UUUGGGGAUAUUGCACAAUGGGGGGAAACCCUGAUGCAGCGACGCCGCGUGAGGGAAGAAGGUUUUCGGAUUGUAAACCUCUGUCCUCAGGGAAGAUAAUGACGGUACCUGAGGAGGAAGCCACGGCUAACUACGUGCCAGCAGCCGCGGUAAUACGUAGGUGGCAAGCGUUGUCCGGAAUUACUGGGUGUAAAGGGAGCGUAGGCGGUAUUGCAAGUUGAAUGUGAAAUCUAUCGGCUCAACUGAUAGGCUGCGUUCAAAACUGUAGUACUUGAGUGAAGUAGAGGCAGGCGGAAUUCCCGGUGUAGCGGUGGAAUGCGUAGAUAUCGGGAGGAACACCAGUGGCGAAGGCGGCCUGCUGGGCUUUAACUGACGCUGAGGCUCGAAAGCAUGGGGAGCAAACAGGAUUAGAUACCCUGGUAGU
rnacentral:rRNA from 1 species